rnacentral:rRNA from 1 species
UACGGGGGGGGCAAGCGUUGUUCGGAAUUACUGGGCGUAAAGGGCUCGUAGGCGGCCAACUAAGUCAGACGUGAAAUCCCUCGGCUUAACCGGGGAACUGCGUCUGAUACUGGAUGGCUUGAAUCCGGGAGAGGGAUGCGGAAUUCCAGGUGUAGCGGUGAAAUGCGUAGAUAUCUGGAGGAACACCGGUGGCGAAGGCGGGAUCCUGGGCCAGUACUGACGCUGAGGAGCGAAAGCGUGGGGAGCAAACAGG